UUAAAAGCGGCAACGUGAAGCACCUUUGAGACAAAGCACAAAUUAGCACAAAUUCCAAACAUUCAGACGAGAGGAGGGUGGCGGACCAGCCCGGAGACGCAGAUGUAGCACAAGACGACAAAUAACCUUCAGAGUGUCUGUGCUGAGGAGCAGCACAUUGACCUGUUACAGGUCUCAUAGGGAUGCUACUCCUCCCUGUCGGGUCGUCGUCCCUUUAGACCUUGACAAACAGGAGUUUGUUCAAGUCCUUCAAGAAAACAUCCCCGCGUUGCCUGAACACUUUGAGCUUUGCCGAGUCAAUGGGCAGCGCAGCAUAAUAGUGUUGGAGGAGCAGUGCCCAAGGGACAUACAUGCCCAGAAUGCCCUAGGGCGCUCUUGUCUCUACCUACGCCCCAAGGAUGUUAUGUCAAACCCCUCCAGACCAGUGGAACAAACACCAGCUGCACCACCAAUUGCAGUUGGGACAACUUCUCCUGCUCCAUCUCCACCAAUCCACACCUCUUCUCCUGCUCCAUCUCCACCAAUCCACACCUCUUCUCCUGCUCCAUCUCCACCAAUCCACACCUCUUCACCUGCUCCAUCUCCAGCUCACAAUCAUUUCUAUAUAUCCUCCGCACCAUCGAGCCCAUACCAGGAGGGAACUGAAGAAGCUUUUGACAUCGCUGUGGCACUUCGAUCCCUACAAUCAAGGGUUCACCAUCUGGCUCCCACAGCCAAUCAGAUAAAUGUUCUUCGCAAUGAAGAAUUUGAAUGUGCCGAGAGAGCCUUCCGGCGACCAGCCUUCAAUCCACAGUCCAAGCUGGACAUCGUUUUCAUAGAUGAGGAUGGUCAAGGAGAAGGUGCCAUCGACGAUGGUGGGCCAACAAGGGAAUUUUGUAGGUUGCUAAUGCAACAACUCCAGGAGCAUCAAAUAUUUGAAGGGCCUCUUGAAGCCCGUACCCUGGCCCUUGACAGUGUUGCUCUUCACAACAACACUUAUAGACUUGUGGGCCAAAUGUUGGCAGUUUGUCUCAUCCAUGGAGGGGUGUCGCCACACUUUUUUUCCAAGAGGCUUUUUAAUCAAGUCUGUGGUCUUCCACCUAGUCCAGCAACCAUUGAAGAGGUGGUAGACCACAGCCUUAGGGCAAAACUGGAGAAGAUAAGCAGUGCAGUAGCGCUACAGGAUGCAAGGCAGGCUGUCAAUGAAGCGGCCGAAGAGUUGGCAAUGAUGGGAGCCCUACGGCACCUCCGCUCGUUGGACCACAGGGGGGAAUUGAUGGAAGCUGUCCUCCAGUUCCACUGUGAAGGCCGAAUCUAUGCAGCCCUCCAACAAUUCAAAGAAGGACUAACUUCACUUGGUGUCCUGGAUGAAGUCACCUCACAUCCACAAGACUUUGAAAAAGUCUUCCUCCAGGACACAACAACCCUAAAGGCCAGCGACAUUGUGGGGGUGUUCCAGGCCAGAUGCCGAUCCCUUCAUCAAAUAGGAGGCGGUUGGAAGCCAGGACCAUUGUAUUCUGGAAAGACUGGCUCCUGGAGGUGGAAGGUGGACUUGCUGGACCAAUCACACUGGAGCAGGUCCUAAUUUUUGGAACAGGUCUCCGCAGAAUCCCAGCAAUGGGCUUUUCAGUGCAGCCUGAGCUGGCAUUUUUACACCCUGAAGAUGGACAUGCCAAGUUUCCCCAGGCCAACACCGGCGCGUUGGUGCUACAUCUACCCACAGACAUCUGAAAGAAGUUAUGGCUCGGAGGACCUUCAUCUUGCGGUGCAGGCACAUUCUUCAAGACUGUACACGGCGUCUGUUGAUGGACGAUGUUGGAUCUGGUGUGCAACUCUUAACAUUGACGAGGCUAGAGACAAUGCACAGAAGCCUCCAGUGGGCAAGGGGAAGACUGAUCAAUGUCACAGCUGCAGACCAACUUCUCAGCGACUUGGCUGAAUUAAUUCAGGAGGUCAGAAUGUCUUCUCAGCCCGGGCAACAGGGUGAGUU